AUUGAACGCUGGCGGCAUGCCUUACACAUGCAAGUCGAACGAGUGGCGGACGGGUGAGUAAUAUCUGGGAAACUGCCCGAUGGAGGGGGAUAACUACUGGAAACGGUAGCUAAUACCGCAUACCAUCGGAUGUGCCCAUAUGGGAUUAGCUAGUGGGUGGGGUAAAGGCUCACCUAGGCGACGAUCCCUAGCUGGUCUGAGAGGAUGACCAGCCACACUGGGACGGAGACACGGCCCAGACUCCUACGGGAGGCAGCAGUGGGGAAUAUUGCACAAUGGGCGCAAGCCUGAUACAGCCAUGCCGCGUGUAUGAAGAAGGCCUUCGGGUUGUAAAGUACUUUCAGUGGGGAGGCGUUACCGGCAGAAGAAGCACCGGCUAACUCCGUGCCAGCAGCCGCGGUAAUUC
rnacentral:rRNA from 1 species